AAGCUGAACAAUUCUCUCAUUUUCUAUUUUCUUUCCUCGAAGCCAAAUUCUUUUUAAAACGACUUUUUCUUCUCAAAUAUUGGUUGCCGAUUACUCAUUUGGUUGAAACCAUAUCUCUUUUCCUUUUAAUCUUUCAAAAGACCGAACCUCUAAUCUUACAUCUCUUCCUCUACUGAUUGUCUCUUCAAUGGUGAACUUAUCGUCACCUAUUUUUUUUCUUUUAGAUCGCAAUAGUCAUAUUCUAGGAUAGAUCCAAAAGCCGAAAAGCCUCAUAUUGUAGUGAUUCGGGAAUUAAUAUUUAGAUCUAUUUUAUACGCACGUUUAAGUUGGAUUCACAACGGAUCUGGGGUAGGAAGGUAUUUGGAACGUUCUUCAACGAGUAGAUCUCUUGGUAAGUAUUCGAACCUUCUUUCCAUUUGUAUCUUGUGGUUUAAAGAAAAGCCGAAAACCCUAUAUGCAAAGGGUGCCUGUCGACUAAACUAAAAGAGUUUAGUGGUGUUAUUUGAUUUGUUUUGCUCUAGUGUGGAUUAAAGGCUACUAAUCGAGGGCUUGGAUAUUUGGAACGACCAAAAUUAGGUCUAGUCCAUUUUUCCGACAAAGGUAAGAACUUUAGUUCCUAAGGUGUUACGGGCCAAAUAUGGUAAGGGUUUGAUGUGUUAAGUUGUUAUGGAUUCAUAGUUUAACGUGUUAGUAACUGAUUGUAGGCAACUUGUGUGUGGAACUCGUUAAUGUUUCGUCGAAAAACAGGUGUGUAAACGACACCCACUCAUAGACUAGAUCGGCAAAAGCUGAAAAGCCGAAAUGCCGAAAAGUCGGCAUUUAUGAACUUGCGAGCAUGCGAGCGCUCGUGAGGUGGUUUGUUUGUUAAUUUUGGUAAUCAUAAGCGGUAAGAGUGCAGAGUGCGCAAUUUCGUGCACUUCGGUAUAUUUGGGCUUAAUGGGCCAAAAAUGGGGUAGUGGGCCAACAGGCCCAAUUCGGUAAAAACGCUCGGUAAGUGUUUCUGUUAAUGCGUUAAUGGUUAUAAUAUGUGUGUAAACUCUAGAAUAGUAAAUUUUACUAAAAUACCCCUAAGUAUGAAAAUUACCAUUUUACCCCUAGGUGCAAAAUGACCGUUAUACCCCUAGGGUUAAUUUUGACUGAAAUGCAUGAUAUUAUGAUUCUGUUUGUUGUAUGCCAUGACAUGUAUAUCUAUUGCAUGGGAUCUGGGUUAUGUUAUGGAGGAAGAACCCGUUCUGGUGGCUGUGCCACAUAUUCUGAUAUAAGCAACUUUGCUGCGGAUUAUAGUUAGUGCCGCAACCGGUGCUAACACUGUAAGUGUAGGGAUGGCGUGGGUGAUUUAUUCCCCACAGAAAGUGUAGGGAUGGAUGGAGGCAAGUGCAGAGUUGGAUGGGGUUAUCAUGCAUUAAUCAUAUGAGGCUGUUUUGUUAUGGGCCAACUGUAUUGAAAUGGGCCCAACUGUGUUAAUAUGGCCAAGGCCUAAUAUAUCUCGACUUGUAAUAGGGCUACGGCCCAGAUUGAUACUGAUAUGGGCUAGGCCCAAUAUACUCUGAUACUAUAAGGGGCUAUGGCCCAGAUUAAUAUUGAUAUGGGCUAAGGCCCAGUUAACACUGAUUUUUGAAUAGGGCUUAGGCCCAGUAAAGCUUGAACUGAUUUGGGCUCUGGUUGGGAUACUUUACAUACUGAGUUUUCCAAACUCACCCCCUUUCUCUUCUAUCCUUGCAGGUGAGCCCUAGUUGGUGGACUUGGAGCUGGGCGGGAUUCAGAGUGGCCAUGAAGAUUAAGUUUCUGUUUUCUUUAAAAUAAGUUUCGCAUUUAUUAUUUUGAUUAUUUUUUUUCUGGUUUAAAUUGUAAUAAGGCCGCUCUUUUUAUUAUUUUUAAUAUUUU
rnacentral:lncRNA from 1 species